GAUGAACGCUGGCGGCGUGCCUAAUACAUGCAAGUCGAGCGAACAGACGAGGAGCUUGCUCCUCUGACGUUAGCGGCGGACGGGUGAGUGACACGUGGAUAACCUACCUAUAAGACUGGGAUAACUUCGGGACACCGGAGCUAAUACCGGAUAAUAUAUUGAACCGCAUGGUUCAAUAGUGAAAGACGGUUUUGCUGUCACUUAUAGAUGGAUCCGCGCCGCAUUAGCUAGUUGGUAAGGUAACGGCUUACCAAGGCAACGAUGCGUAGCCGACCUGAGAGGGUGAUCGGCCACACUGGAACUGAGACACGGUCCAGACUCCUACGGGAGGCAGCAGUAGGGAAUCUUCCGCAAUGGGCGAAAGCCUGACGGAGCAACGCCGCGUGAGUGAUGAAGGUCUUCGGAUCGUAAAACUCUGUUAUUAGGGAAGAACAAAUGUGUAAGUAACUAUGCACGUCUUGACGGUACCUAAUCAGAAAGCCACGGCUAACUACGUG
rnacentral:rRNA from 1 species